GACGAACGCUGGCGGCGUGCCUAACACAUGCAAGUCGAACGGACAAAUACCUUCGGGUAUUUGUUAGUGGCGGACGGGUGAGUAACGCGUGAGUAACCUGCCUUUCAGAGGGGGACAACAGUUGGAAACGACUGCUAAUACCGCAUAAUAUUGUAGCACCGCAUGGUGCAACAAUCAAAGGAGCAAUCCGCUGAGAGAUGGACUCGCGUCCGAUUAGGUAGUUGGUGAGGUAAUGGCCCACCAAGCCUACGAUCGGUAGCCGGACUGAGAGGUCGAACGGCCACAUUGGGACUGAGACACGGCCCAGACUCCUACGGGAGGCAG
rnacentral:rRNA from 1 species